rnacentral:rRNA from 1 species
UACAGAGGUGGCAAGCGUUGUUCGGAAUUACUGGCGUAAAGGGCGCGUAGGCGGUUCGUUAAGUCCUGUGUGAAAUCCCCCGGCUCAACUGGGAACUGCACAGGAAACUAGCGGGCUUGAGUUCGGAGAGGGAAGCGGAAUUCCGGGUGUAGCGGUGAAAUGCGUAGAUAUCUGGAGGAAUACCGGUGGUGAAGGCGGCAUCCUGGACCAACACUGACGCUGAUGCGCGAAAGCCAGGGAGCA